rnacentral:rRNA from 1 species
GGGUUAGUAACACGUUGAUAACCUACCUAUAAGACUGGGAUAACUUCGGGAAACCGGAGCUAAUACCGGAUAAUAUUUUGAACCGCAUGGUUCAAAAGUGAAAGACGGUCUUGCUGUCACUUAUAGAUGGAUCCGCGCUGCAUUAGCUAGUUGGUAAGGUAACGGCUUACCAAGGCAACGAUGCAUAGCCGACCUGAGAGGGUGAUCGGCCACACUGGAACUGAGACACGGUCCAG